rnacentral:rRNA from 1 species
GACGAACGCUGGCGGCGUGCUUAACACAUGCAAGUCGAACGGAAAGGCCCUGCUUUUGUGGGGUGCUCGAGUGGCGAACGGGUGAGUAACACGGGAGUAACCUGCCCUUGACUUUGGGAUAACUUCAGGAAACUGGGGCUAAUACCGGAUAGGAGCUCCUGCUGCAUGGGGGGGGUUGGAAAGUUUCGGCGGUUGGGGAUGGACUCGCGGCUUAUCAGCUUGUUGGUGGGGUAGUGGCUUACCAAGGCUUUGACGGGUAGCCGGCCUGAGAGGGUGACCGGCCACAUUGGGACUGAGAUACGGCCCCGACUCCGACGGGAGGCAGCAGUGGGGAAUAUUGCACAAUGGGCGGCAGCCUGAUGCAGCAACGCCGCGUGCGGGAUGACGGCCUUCGGGUUGUAAACCGCUUUCGCCUGUGACGAAGCGUGAGUGACGGUAAUGGGUAAAGAAGCACCGGCUAACUACGUG